CAGUUCGGAUUGUAGUCUGCAACCCGACUACAUGAAGCCGGAAUCGCUAGUAAUCGCGGAUCAGAAUGCCGCGGUGAAUACGUUCCCGGGUCUUGUACACACCGCCCGUCACACCAUGGGAGUCGGAAAUGCCCGAAGUCUGUGACCCAACCGUAAGGAGGGAGCAGCCGAAGGCAGGUCGGAUGACUGGGGUGAAGUCGUAACAAGGUAGC
rnacentral:rRNA from 1 species